GAUGAACGCUGGCGGCGUGCCUAACACAUGCAAGUCGAGCGAAGCGGUUUUAAGGAAGUUUUCGGAUGGAAUUAAAACUGACUGAGCGGCGGACGGGUGAGUAACGCGUGGGUAACCUGCCUCAUACAGGGGGAUAACAGUUAGAAAUGGCUGCUAAUACCGCAUAAGCACACAGCUUCGCAUGGAGCAGUGUGAAAAACUCCGGUGGUAUGAGAUGGACCCGCGUCUGAUUAGCUAGUUGGUAAGGUAACGGCUUACCAAGGCGACGAUCAGUAGCCGACCUGAGAGGGUGACCGGCCACAUUGGGACUGAGACACGGCCCAAACUCCUACGGGAGGCAGCAGUGGGGAAUAUUGCACAAUGGGGGAAACCCUGAUGCAGCGACGCCGCGUGAGUGAAGAAGUAUCUCGGUAUGUAAAGCUCUAUCAGCAGGGAAGAAAAUGACGGU
rnacentral:rRNA from 1 species